rnacentral:rRNA from 1 species
CGUGGGUAACCUGCCCAAGAGAUCGGUAUAACACCUGGAAACAGAUGCUAAUACCGGAUAACAACAGAUGAUGCCUAUCAACUGUUUAAAAGAUGGUUCUGCUAUCACUCUUGGAUGGACCUGCGGUGCAUUAGCUAGUUGGUAGGGUAACGGCCUACCAAGGCGAUGAUGCAUAGCCGAGUUGAGAGACUGAUCGGCCACAUUGGGACUGAGACACGGCCCAAACUCCUACGGGAGGCAGCAGGG